GGCACUUGUGCCAGAACAGGAAGGUGCAGAGUGCAGGCUGCCUGCUUGACCCUGAAAUCCCCAGCACAUCUGAGGUUAGGUGGCUAGCAGUACCAGAGCUGGGCUGUUUAGAGGUGUGUUCAGCUCUAGGGUGUGCAUGGAGAGAUGCAGAGAAGUCGAAGCUCUAUUUGAUACUUUCCUGAAACACGGGUGUCUAAGCAGGUUGCGACUGCCCUCAAGGAUAUUACCCAAGGGUAAACUUGGAGAAAGCACAAAGCCAGCACUGCAAGUUUCCAUGGGAAAUGCAGGCAGAUCUCCAUUGCCUCCCUGGCUGCGAUCUUACCACACCACAGCACCCAGCCCUGGGCAAGGAUGACAGUAAGAACCAAUGGCCAGCCAGCAGAGAGUCGAAAACACACCAGGGCAUCCAUGAUAAGACCUCAGAAGGGCCUGUGCCAGCUUAUACGUUAUCUGUGGAGUGGGACCUGGCAGAAAGAAGCACAGGCUGCCUCCAUGGAUGUGACAAAGGUUUGGGAUUGAAGCAGAGAGAGGCCCUGUGCAUUGCCACCAUUACUUGGUACGUCCAACAUGAUAACUCUAUGUGAUGAUAGAGCUGCACAACCCUCAGAGCUGCGCGCCUUAGAGACAUGCUGCGCAUUUCAGCACAUCGUAGCAAUGACAAGCUAAGGAAAUGAUGAGUGCUGCUGAAAGGACACUCCGAGGUUCUGUGCAGCCAGCCAGAGAUCUCCGUAGUCAAUGUCUGCUCAGGUCUGAGUUUCAUCUGACUGUGGUGCUUGCAAUCCUUUUGUAUUCAUUUUCUUUUGCAUUUUUAGCAAAUGGGCUUACUGGCAUGGUAAAUUUGAAGUAAUUAGCAAAUGUUUACCUAAAGUGAGUUUGAAACAUAUAAAAAGGACCGUAUGAAGUGUUUCCAAGAUUUUCAUUUAUUUGGCUAAAGAAAUCGUGACACCUGACUUAUGUGUCCAAUCCAACAUAGCCAGGCUGCUCCUGUUUUGAAUAUCAAGUGUUUGCACUGAACUUGAAAAGCUGUUUCCUAACCAAGGCUCAGUCAGACGACAGAAAUAUUUCAAAAAGGUACAAGAAAAU